UAGCAAUGAUGAAUGAAUUUCUUCACCUGAAUCCUCUAUGUGGAUCAAACUUGAGCUUUUUAACCCUGAGCAGA